CUCGAUUCUCCCGAAACUUUCCCAGACGAGGAGCAUUCGAAGCCGGAUGCAGCCCGGCCAGCAAUCCGAAUGAUAACAGAUGAGAAAUUUGGCAGCGAAUAUAUGCAACACACAUCGCGCGUGAGAUAAUUGACGGAUGACAAUAAACAAAAGCGCAAUUCAAAUUGAUUGUCAGUCAGUCGAGAUGAAAACAACAACAACAAUGCGGUGCAUCGUUUCAUCACAGAAACAACACGUAUAUUUGCUGAUUACUGGUGCUGUUGUUCCUCCCAUGGAAGCGGUCUCCACUCGGUGGAUUCGGGCUCGUUGAAGCUGUGGUCUAUCUUGUAGUAGGUGUCGGG